CGUCAUUCGACAGCUAAAAGUGUACGGAACAAGCAGCGAAAAAAUCCCGUGAUAAAAAAAAUGCCAAAAAAGAAUACAUUGAGGAAGCGGAUCACAUGCAUCAUGAUGAUCCGCGCUGGACGCAACAAGCGCAACAUCAUGCAGUGCGUGCAGUGUUCGCUGAACACGGUGAAGGCGAUCCGGAGUGAGCUGGGAGAAAACAGCGACGACGACAAAGCAGUGGCAGCACGAACGCUACAUUCUCAACGGCGGGAUUGCGUGCGGACCGACGCUUUCCUGGCUGACAUCCAGGCGCGCGUGAUGACAGAGAAGGGCCGCGAGCGUUGGUUGGGGAACGCUAAGAAGCUGCUCGAUUGGCUGAAGCAUCGCGUGGGGCCUGACACGCGCCGAAUGUGUGGCCUCCCAGCUCCCCGGAUCUUAAUCCAAUGGAUUAUUUCGUGUGGUGAGCGGUGGAACAGGACACCAACAGAACCUCCAGCAACACCAAUGGCGAAAAUCAGGUCCGAUUUCGCGGCCCUACCCUGCAACACUGUCGCCAGGGCUUGUUCCUGGUUCCGAAGACGGGUAGAGGCCGUAAUAGAAGCCGAGGGCGGAUAUUUUGAAUAAAAUACAUGGUGACAGUCAAAAUUAUCCCGAACGCCCUGUAUAUUAUAAGCUACAAUCCCUUAAACUCCAAUUUUACCCAAUGAUGGAUAGAGGUUGGAAGAUGGGGAAAAAUAUUGCCCAGCGCUUUGUAAAAAUGACGAUUUAUCCAACAACAACAAUUAACGGCCUUCUUUGUUACAAUUUAUUGACGUUUAUCAAUAUUUAAACCGGCGUACAAUUAGCCUGAUCAAAACUUGAUGAGACACCAAGUAUGAAUAAUUUUGACACAUAAAUUAUUAGUGAAAAUAAAAAUUACACUAGCGAGUACAGGCAAUGCCCCCCGGCCUUAAGCUUUUGAAUCCGCGAAACAACAAUCUCCCAUAAAAAAUAUAUGGCCCUACACGGGUAGGCGGUCGUAGUACAACGUGUAUUUAUUUGGUCAUAGACACUACGGUUAACCUUCAUUUCUAUAAUCACCUACCCGGGUAUGUUUUGCUUUUUUUUUAUUGGAUUAUCGAAUCGAUCCAAAAACAUUAGAAUGACUAGAGAAACAUAUUUUAAAAUAGGGGUAAAUAAUUCAGAAUUUGUGUAAAA